UGGGGAAUUUUGGACAAUGGGCGAAAGCCUGAUCCAGCCAUGCCGCGUGAGUGAAGAAGGCCUUCGGGUUGUAAAGCUCUUUUAGUCGGAAAGAAAGAGUCGCAAUGAAUAAUUGUGAUUUAUGACGGUACCGACAGAAAAAGCACCGGCUAACUACGUGCCAGCAGCCGCGGUAAUACGUAGGGUGCGAGCGUUAAUCGGAAUUACUGGGCGUAAAGGGUGCGCAGGCGGUUUUGCAAGUCAGAUGUGAAAGCCCCGGGCUUAACCUGGGAAUUGCGUUUGAAACUACAAGGCUAGAGUGCAGCAGAGGGGAGUGGAAUUCCAUGUGUAGCAGUGAAAUGCAUAGAUAUGUCAUAGAACACCGAUUGCGAAGGCAGCUGACUGGGCCUAUAUUGACGCUGA
rnacentral:rRNA from 1 species